GUCGACAAUACUUCAGAGAAUCAUUUCUAUAGUUAUUGUCCUCUUCUUGGUUCCUAAAAAGAGCCACAGAUCCCAACCGGGUUGAUGACUUUUAUAUCCUCGACUGGCCCAAUUUCUUCGCGAAAACGCUUCUUGGGGGUUUAGCCACCCCCAUCUUUUGACCCUCGCUCUGCCUGCAAAGGCGGCGGCCCAGGAAGCUCAACAGAGAAUGCCACAGUCUUCGGACGGCGGCCUCUUCUCUGGUUUCCAGGGGCUGUAUUCAGAGGGUGGUGAUGAGCUAUACCCUGGACUGGAGGUCUUGUCUUGCUUUUGCGAGCACUCUGCCAGGGUGGGUGUCGAUGGACGUCUGACCGGC
rnacentral:snoRNA from 1 species